GGGGAUUUAGCUCAGUGGUAGAGCGCUUGCCUAGCAAGCGCUCUAGGCCCUGGGUUCGGUCCCCAGCUCCG
rnacentral:tRNA from 1 species